rnacentral:rRNA from 1 species
GACAGAGGGUGCAAACGUUGCUCGGAAUCAUUGGGCGUAAAGCGCACGUAGGCAGCCUGUUAAGUCGGGUGUGAAAGCCCUGGGCUCAACCCAGGAAGUGCACUCGAAACUGACGGGCUUGAAUAUGGAAGAGGGUCGCGGAAUUCCCGGUGUAGAGGUGAAAUUCGUAGAUAUCGGGAGGAACACCAGUGGCGAAGGCGGUUGCCUGGGGCUUUGCUGACGCUGAUGCGCGAAAGCGUGGGGAGCGAUCCGG